rnacentral:rRNA from 1 species
AAAUUGAAGAGUUUGAUCAUGGCUCAGAUUGAACGCUGGCGGCAGGCCUAACACAUGCAAGUCGAACGGUAGCACAGAGAGCUUGCUCUCGGGUGACGAGUGGCGGACGGGUGAGUAAUGUCUGGGAAACUGCCUGAUGGAGGGGGAUAACUACUGGAAACGGUAGCUAAUACCGCAUAACGUCGCAAGACCAAAGAGGGGGACCUUCGGGCCUCUUGCCAUCAGAUGUGCCCAGAUGGGAUUAGCUAGUAGGUGGGGUAACGGCUCACCUAGGCGACGAUCCCUAGCUGGUCUGAGAGGAUGACCAGCCACACUGGAACUGAGACACGGUCCAGACUCCUACGGGAGGCAGCAGUGGGGAAUAUUGCACAAUGGGCGCAAGCCUGAUGCAGCCAUGCCGCGUGUAUGAAGAAGGCCUUCGGGUUGUAAAGUACUUUCAGCGGGGAGGAAGGCGAUAAGGUUAAUAACCUCAGCAAUUGACGUUACCCGCAGAAGAAGCACCGGCUAACGCCGUGCCAGCAGCAGCGGUAAUACGGAGGGUGCAAGCGUUAAUCGGAAUUACUGGGCGUAAAGCGCACGCAGGCGGUCUGUCAAGUCGGAUGUGAAAGCCCCGGGCUCAACCUGGGAACUGCAUUCGAAACUGGCAGGCUAGAGUCUUGUAGAGGGGGGUAGAAUUCCAGGUGUAGCGGUGAAAUGCGUAGAGAUCUGGAGGAAUACCGGUGGCGAAGGCGGCCCCCUGGACAAAGACUGACGCUCAGGUGCGAAAGCGUGGGGAGCAAACAGGAUUAGAUACCCUGGUAGUCCACGCCGUAAACGAUGUCGACUUGGAGGUUGUGCCCUUGAGGCGUGGCUUCCGGAGCUAACGCGUUAAGUCGACCGCCUGGGGAGUACGGCCGCAAGGUUAAAACUCAAAUGAAUUGACGGGGGCCCGCACAAGCGGUGGAGCAUGUGGUUUAAUUCGAUGCAACGCGAAGAACCUUACCUACUCUUGACAUCCAGAGAACUUAGCAGAGAUGCUUUGGUGCCUUCGGGAACUCUGAGACAGGUGCUGCAUGGCUGUCGUCAGCUCGUGUUGUGAAAUGUUGGGUUAAGUCCCGCAACGAGCGCAACCCUUAUCCUUUGUUGCCAGCGGUCCGGCCGGGAACUCAAAGGAGACUGUCAGUGAUAAACUGGAGGAAGGUGGGGAUGACGUCAAGUCAUCAUGGCCCUUACGAGUAGGGCUACACACGUGCUACAAUGGCGCAUACAAAGAGAAGCGACCUCGCGAGAGCAAGCGGACCUCAUAAAGUGCGUCGUAGUCCGGAUUGGAGUCUGCAACUCGACUCCAUGAAGUCGGAAUCGCUAGUAAUCGUGGAUCAGAAUGCCACGGUGAAUACGUUCCCGGGCCUUGUACACACCGCCCGUCACACCAUGGGAGUGGGUUGCAAAAGAAGUAGGUAGCUUAACCUUCGGGAGGGCGCUUACCACUUUGUGAUUCAUGACUGGGGUGAAGUCGUAACAAGGUAACCGUAGGGGAACCUGCGGUUGGAUCACCUCCUUACCUUAAAGAA